rnacentral:rRNA from 1 species
CAGUCGUACCGACGAGAAAUCAACCUUUCGAGUGCGAACUUGUGGGCGUGCGUGAGUCUUUAACGGGCCUCGCUGUUUGCAAUGUUUGUCCUUUUGGGGUGUACUUUUUCGUAUGGUAGGCCAACGUCAGUUUCGAUCACUGGAGAAAGGCUAGUUGAAUGUGGCAUCCUCGGAUGUGUUAUAGCUUCUAGUCAUAUACAGUGGUUGGGACUGGAGGACUCAGCACGCCGACAAGGUCC